rnacentral:rRNA from 1 species
UACGAAGGGGGCUAGCGUUGUUCGGAAUCACUGGGCGUAAAGCGCACGUAGGCGGAUUGUUAAGUCGGGGGUGAAAUCCUGAGGCUCAACCUCAGAACUGCCUUCGAUACUGUCAAUCUCGAGUCCGGAAGAGGUUGGUGGAACAGCUAGUGUAGAGGUGAAAUUCGUAGAUAUUAGCUAGAACACCAGUGGCGAAGGCGGCCAACUGGUCCGGUACUGACGCUGAGGUGCGAAAGCGUGGGGAGCAAACAGG